rnacentral:lncRNA from 1 species
GGCAAUAGUCGAGAUAGAGAGAGAAAACUAGUUACAGGUGAGAAAGCCACUUUAGAGAGAGAAAAAGAGAGUGGGCAACCAGGCCAUCAAAGAGAAUUUGUAGAGAGAAAGAAAGAGAGCGUGAACCGGCCCGUUGAAAACUGGUUGAUUUUGUUAAAUAAAGUUUUUUUACGUAUUUUCAAGAACUCGUUGUUGCAUCAUGGGCAUGGAGAGGAAGGAAUGUUCCGAUCGUCUUCCAGAUGAAAUGGUCGCUGAGAUCAUGGCAAAAUCUGAGUCGUUUGAGGGACUCAAGGUGUGAAGAAUAGGUGAGUUUUUUCUCUCUAAAUUUUUUAUGUAAAUCUUGUAUAUUUUUCCUUUCCGCCUUCCUCCGGCUGAAUUCGUUCGUUGAGUAGUUGUAUGAUUUUUAUUCUUGUUUUUAGGUGUAAGGGGUUAAGAACCUCUCGAAAGAUCCUUUGGUUAUGCAACGUUGUUUCAAGAGAGCUAAUUCUUGAAAGUUUAUGGCAUAAAAACCAGACAAAUCCUACGUCUUACAUCAAACGAUAUGUAGAUACAGGAAAUCCUGAAGCUCAAUACCGAAUGGUAAUCUCUCUCCCUAAAUUUCACAUAAAAAAUUUUUUGGUUUAGAUUCAUCAUUUAGUUUGAGGUUUCAUGGUUUAUUUCAUGGUUCAAGGUAUAGUCUCAUGCUCUAGUUAAAUUUAGUUUUUCCAUGGUUCUUGAUUUAGAUGCAUGGUCGAUCUUUAUUUGGUUUUUUCAUGCUUCUUGGUUUAGAUUCAUGGUUCCUUUUGUUUUAGUUUUGAGUUUCAUGGUUUAUUUCAUGCUUCUUAGUAUAUUUCGAGGUUCUUGGUUUGGUUUGGUUUGCUCUCAUAAUGCUAUACCUCUCCUGGAUUUCACAUGAAACAAUAGUCGUUAACUGCAGUUAUUUCCAUAACUCUAUGUUGAGUUGCUUUUUAAUAUUUAUCCAAAAAAAGAAAGUUUUUUUUUCAAAUUAAAAAGAAAAAAAAAAAAAAGGGUACCAUAUUACAAUAUAAAACCCAUGGUCACAAAUUCGUCACUUCUCUCUCUCCUUGUGAAUCCUAUCUCUUUAUAUGAUUUGGAUAAAUCCUCUCUCUCUCCUCGUGCGUAAGGUUUUUUUUUUUUUCGGCUAGAAACCCAAGCUCGUAGGUUUGCCUUGAGAAAUAGCAUUAUUUACGUUUAGGGUGUAUAGAUUAUAUCCACCAUCCCUUCUAAUCAAUGAUGGUGGAGAUGAGUUGUCGUGCAUCAAUCUUUCUGAUUGUCAUGCAUCAUUGUUUUUAAACUCUGGCUCAGGCCUCUGACUUGACUUUGGUCCGACCAUGAGUAACCCGGUCUCGAGUAAUCCACCGGGAUAAAAAUCCAUAAAAAAAAAAUUUAAAGAAAAAAAAAAUAUUAGAAAUAAAAUAAAAAUUGGUACAAAUAAAAUAAAACAAAAAACAAUAUCAAAAGUUAAAUAAUAAAAAAUAAAAAAUAUAUAUUAAGAAAAAUAAGUUUACGGAUACACACAUUUCAAACAAACCAAAAAAAAAAGAAAAAGAAAAUAUAAACAAUCAAAGUAAGGUGCACCUCCAAAUUUUAUCGUAAUAUAUAAUUUUGGUGUCAAAAAAUCUUUGGAUGGCCUAUUAAUCCAUUUUCAACUCUUUAAACUUUAAAAAUAGUUCAAAUCAAGCAGAUCUAUAAACACAUGAAAAUCUUGAAAAUAGACGAUCCAAAUAAUGUGUUGUAAGAUACACACUUUCUAGGCCUUGAUAUCUUUUCUUGUUUUCUUAUUUAUAUAUCUCGAUGACAUGAUGAUCAAUUAGAGAAUUUUUCAACAUCAAAACAAGCUUUUUCAAUGAAAUUUUUAAUUUGCAAGUUAAUUCUAUAUUUUAAAGUUGUAACUUUAUAAAAACAUCGAAAUUGCAUAUAUAAUUGCUUUACAUUUAUCCUCACAAAUAAUUUAUUUGUCUAUUUUAUUUUUAAAUAUGCCCUAAUUGUAUCCAGCUACUCAGAUUAGGUAGGGCCAAGUAACUCGGUUAAACGCGGAAACGCAUAUGCAUGUCUGACUCUGGCGAGUUAGACGAGUAACGAGUCCCGAUUUUGCAACAUGAAUAAGAAAAUAAAAUCCUUUGCGCCAUGAGGAUUGAAGGUCAACCAUAGUCCUUAUGACUCAGGAAAUUCAUGAUCAAUGGUAUACAUCAUAACCUUCAUAGUAGAGACAGAGACAGGGUGUGAUUCACCAUAAGGGUUGUGUCUUAUUGAUGGAUCACUCUCUCUUACCCGUCCGAUAAUUGAAUGCACGGUGAUAAAAUUAUAACUAGAUUUUUUUUUGGUGAAUUACUUUUACAACAGUAUAGAGUUCUUUUUCGGUGAAUUACCUUUAUGACAAUAUGUGUACAAUAUUGUUGAAUUAAAAUGAAGAUGGAAUUAUUGGUGAAUUAUUUUUACAACAGUAUGAGUACAAGAUUGUUGAAUCAAAAUGAAGAUGGAAUUACAAUAUUGUUGUACUACAAUGAAAAUGCAAGUGGCCUUUAAGGUAUUUCUAGUUUUUACCUUUGAGUAAAAGUCAUUGGACGAAUAAGUUUACGAGUUGAACUCAUCUAACAAAACUUCAUAUUUAUAUUUAUGAAUUGCUUGUUUUUAUUCUAAAUACAUUUCUUAAAUAUUCCUCAAAAGCUAAAAGAAAUGUAUAUUUCUGUGUUUUUGUAGUAGAAGAUUUUUAGCUUAAAUAUUCCUCAAAAGCUAAAAGAAAUGUAUAUUUCUGUGUUUUUGUAGUGGAAGAUUUUUAGCUCCAAGAAAAAGGAUGAAUGUGAGCUAUAGCUGAUGAAAGCAAUGAAAAUGGGUCACCCAGAAUCUGCUUAUGCAUCGGCCUCGAUCUUGUGAGGGAAAAUUUUUGGAAGGUACACAAUCCAUGGAAAAGAUUGAGCUCUCCCUUUCAUUCCAUGGAUCGAGCUCUCUCUUUCAUUUUGUCUAAGUAGCACCAAGUCCAUUCUUAAAAUGAUAUGGGUCCACAAUAAGCUGCCAUUCAAACCAGCAAAAUGCAACAAUAAGAAGUGCACAAAUCCGAGACUCAUGGGAUGGGAUCAAGUAGUGGAUGGAUGUUGCUCUUCUAAAUGCAAGUGGAUGUGGGAG